rnacentral:misc_RNA from 1 species
AAGUCGUAACAAGGUUUCCGUAGGUGAACCUGCGGAAGGAUCAUUACUGUUCGGCAGUUUACUGCUGUUUUUAAAGGGUGUGGAAACUUUUUGGGUUAUCCCAGAGAGGUGUACACGCCCUUUAUACACCCUUGACUUUUUGCGCACCCUUGUUUCCUCGGUAGGCUUGCCUGCCGGUUGGACAACUUAAUAACCUUUGAAAUUUUCAAUCAGCGUCUGUAAAACAUAAUAAUUACAACUUUCAACAACGGAUCUCUUGGUUCUG